CCGGCCAUCAGGGGGAGCCGACGAUCGGCUGAGAGGUUCCGCGCGCGGAACGACCCCUAAACCUGAUCCGGGUAAUGCCGGCGUAGGAAUGAGGUCCGCGAUGAGU
rnacentral:ncRNA from 2 species